GUUGGAGGAGUCCUCAGCGGCCCUGAUGAGCUCAUCCUCCAAGUACUCCGCAGUGGUCUGGAUGUUCCGGAAAGAGUCUGAGGAGCACCUGCGCACAGCAGCCAGAUGGCCUGAAUCACCAGGCGGGGACACACCCACAGCCCGCAGCCUCCCGUCCGGGCUCAUCCAAUGCCUGUUGAACCGUCCCCGGGGGCCACUGUGGAUGAUGGCAUUCACCAGUACCUGCAGAGGGAUUUUUACCAGUGAGCAGGGGGCUUCCCGGGAACUAUCUCCACAAGUUUAAGGACACAUCAAGACACAUCACACACCAGUCUGGGGCAAUCAGCCAUCCCUGCCUUCUCCAAGCUCAGGAACCCUGAAGUAAGAAGAUUCUUCAGGGGGUUUUAAAGUCCCAGUCGCGGGGCUGGAGAGAGGGCUCAGCGGUUAAGAGCCCCAACUGCUCUUCCAGACGUCCUGAGUUCAAUUCCCACAUGGUGGCUCACAACCACCUAUAAGGGGAUCUGAUGCCCUCUUCUGGCAUGCAGCAGAG
rnacentral:lncRNA from 1 species